UACGUAGGGGGCAAGCGUUAUCCGGAUUUACUGGGUGUAAAGGGGGCGCAGACGGCGAUGCAAGCCAGGAGUGAAAGCCCGGGGCCCAACCCCGGGACUGCUCUUGGAACUGCGUGGCUGGAGUGCAGGAGGGGCAGGCGGAAUUCCUGGUGUAGCGGUGAAAUGCGUAGAUAUCAGGAGGAACACCGGUGGCGAAAGCGGCUCUCUGGUCUGUAACUGACGCUGAGGCUCGAAAGCGUGGGUAGCGAACAGG
rnacentral:rRNA from 1 species